rnacentral:lncRNA from 1 species
UUAUAUCCUCAUAGGGAUGAGUCUUGUUUCAUCGCGCCUCUCUAGUUUGAUCCUAGAUCGGCUUCUCGUGUUUUUUCCUACGAUUCCCCGUAGUUCAGAUGAACGAUUGCUCAGUAACCAGUAAUUAUCCAUCUUUUCCCCGACGGAAUCUGUGGUUUUCUAUCCUUAUACCGGUAGUUGUAAACCCUAUUUUUAUCCCCUUGCAGAGUUA